AGAGAGAUAGAGAAAGAGAGUGAGAGAGAUAAAUAGAGAGAGAGAAGUGAAAAAAAAUAAGUGUCAGAAGAAUGAAGAAAGAGAAGAAUACGAAACCCAAAACCCAAAGAAAGUGCCUAUUGCCAAACUGACGGAAACGCCCUUUUCCAGAUGACCAAAAGCGCGCCCCUGCUGCUCCUCCUCCUGGUGGCGGCGGUCCUCUCGCCUCGCGCCCUCGCUGGGCCCGCGCCCGCGCCCGUCCUAUUCAGGCGGUUCGGCGGGUAUGGUCAUGGAUAUUACCCUGGGUAUGGGCAUGGAUUCGGACACCAUAGAUAUGGCCACCACGGUUACCAUGGUCACCAUGGCCAUCACGGGAUCGGUCACAUCUUGCACAGACUCUUCGGUCAUGCAUUUGGCCAUCAUCACUUUUACGGAUAGAUAAUUAUGAGGCUGCACUUGGCCACCGAGUCUUCCUUAUCACAGUAACACUCAACAAGAGGCAGUGAGAUCUAAUGGAUUCCAUAUAUUAAUUUUACAUUUACUGGAAUUCCAGUUUAUAUAGUUCAUAUAACGAAUUCAUCAUAAAACCUAAAUAUUACUCAUUAAGUUGAGAAAUUCCACAGUAUUAUAUAUACGAAGAUAAUAAAGAAGAGAAGGUUUAUUUCGGAUUCAUGAACAUGUUCGAAUCAAGUUUACGUAGACAAGUGCAUAGGCCUACUCGGUGGUUCCCACUAUUCGCUUGCCGAGAACUAUACCCCAACCAAGAACCAGACACAGAGACGUCCACUCUGGUUCCAGUCACCGUACCACGUCAAGACAACCAAUCAAACUGCAAGAUUUAUUUCGGUGGUUCUGAUUUCGUCCAUUUUGGUUCAUCGGAGGAUCGAGUCGGGGAGACAAAUGUUGUCGUUUGAGGAGAAGGGAACUGUGGUCCGGUGUUGAUUUGCAAGAUUAUAAUUUAUAUGCAUAUGUGUGUGUGUGUGUGUGUGUAAGUUUCACGCUAUAAAGGAAUGUUAAACCA
rnacentral:lncRNA from 1 species